CUGAGCCGAUUCCUCUUCGUGUUAAAAAAGUAUCCUGUCCCAGCAGCGCUUACCAUCUGCACCAAGAUGGUCCUGAGGGAAAAAGAAACGGGCAACCUCAGCAAUUAUGCUACUGCCAGUAGAGAGGGAAAGGGAGGAAGUAGCACCCCUAAGCCCCCCGCCUUUGUUCAUCUUGGCUGGCCCCGGCUCCAUCCGUCAUCUAAGCCCAGUGCUUCCAUGCAAGGCCAGUGACGAGGGCCAUAGCAGCAUGCUGCUCUUCCUGCCGCUCUCAUUAAAUCGUCUCUGUUUCCUGUACUGCAGUGGUCUGGUGAGGACGUCUAUGAGAACUCGACUGGCUGUACAGAAACUCUCUGCUGCCCUCUUUUGUUCAGUAAUGCUCAGAAUGACUUCCAUAAUCUGUUAGCCUGUAAAUUACUAAAAUGGGUAUAAAAAAAAACUUAAGAACACUGAUUAGAAAGUGCUUCACACAAUGAUGCAAAUUAUAAUCAAGGAUUAGAAGUGAAAGUGAUUUUAGCAUUUCAAGUGGAUUUUAUUUCCUGCUCAAAAGUAAGUUUUGUUCCUGUGCUAGAUUUAUGCUCUUUGGCAUAAAUCUGAUAGACAUACCUUCCAAAGCUGUCAUUUUCUACUAUUUUCUGUUUAGAAAUAUCAAACAAAAGAGUCUGUACCAAAUGUUUGGGCAUUUUGCAUUAGUGGAGUUUCUUGCAAAAUUGUCAGCCUGCAUGAGUUCCCUCUUCCGCAAAAGAAAAUGUGACAGGAAAUUUCACUAGGUGCAACUAUUAAGACAAAUAUGUUAGGCUUUUGAUACGCCAGUAAUAUAUGCUAUAAAUGAGAUGCAUCAGUUGGUGGUAAGAGACAUCAUUUCAACCAAUAUCAUGUGGGGAAAAAAACAAUAUUGCAGUUUAAAAGAUUACUCACAAGUCACAAAUAUUAAACUCUUGAUGACUAGUAAUAUCAACAAGCACAUUACUCUAAAGUAAUAUGCUUGUUUAUAUUUGAGAAAGCUAAACACAAAGUAGUAUAAUAUCGGAGUACAGGGGACCCAUUUUUUAUGCAGUGAUGUGAGGCUCUAAUGGAAACCAAACCUCGGAAGUGUUGUCAAGUCAUCAUGAAUUGGUACCUGGCAAACAAAUGGGCACAUUCAAUGAUUUCAUACAAUCA